CUUAUACAUGCAAGUCGAGCGCAUCCUUCGGGAUGAGCGGCGGACGGGUGAGUAACGCGUGGGAAUGUGCCCUUCUCUACGGAAUAGCCACUGGAAACGGUGAGUAAUACCGUAUACGCCCUCAGGGGGAAAGAUUUAUCGGAGAAGGAUCAGCCCGCGUUAGAUUAGGUAGUUGGUGGGGUAACGGCCUACCAAGCCUACGAUCUAUAGCUGGUUUUAGAGGGUGAUCAGCCACACUGGGACUGAGACACGGCCCAGACUCCUACGGGAGGCAGCAGUAGGGAAUCUUGGACAAUGGGGGCAACCCUGAUCCAGCCAUGCCGCGUGAGUGAAGAAGGCCCUAGGGUCGUAAAGCUCUUUCGCCUGUGAUGAUAAUGACAGUAGCAGGUAAAGAAACCCCGGCUAACUCCGUGCCAGCAGCCGCGGUAAUACGGAGGGGGUUAGCGUUGUUCGGAAUUACUGGGCGUAAAGCGCGCGUAGGCGGAUUGGAAAGUUGGGGGUGAAAUCCCGGGGCUCAACCCCGGAACUGCCUUCAAAACUCCCAGUCUAGAGUUCGAGAGAGGUGAGUGGAAUUCCGAGUGUAGAGGUGAAAUUCGUAGAUAUUCGGAAGAACACCAGUGGCGAAGGCGGCUCACUGGCUCGAUACUGACGCUGAGGUGCGAAAGUGUGGGGAGCAAACAGGAUUAGAUACCCUGGUAGUCCACACCGUAAACGAUGAAUGCCAGUCGUCGGAUAGUAUACUAUUCGGUGACACACCUAACGGAUUAAGCAUUCCGCCUGGGGGAGUACGGUCGCAAGAUUAAAACUCAAAUGAAUUGACGG
rnacentral:rRNA from 1 species